rfam:Thermovenabulum gondwanense strain R270 ATZ99_contig000031, whole genome shotgun sequence.
UCUAUCGCGAGGUGGAAUCUGAAGGAAGCCGGAGGCAAAAUCCCGGUCCGAUGAACAGGAACUGCAUAUAAGGCAUAUGUAAGCCGGAUGAGUUUGCAAUAUAAAACGAAGUCCAAUGCUAUCCGAGGCUUAUGGUGUAAAUGCAGUAGGAGCAUAGAAGGAAAGGGUGGC